GAUGAACGCUGACAGAAUGCUUAACACAUGCAAGUCUUUGGUGAAGCUGUGCUUGCAUAGCCUAGCCAAGGCGGACGGGUGAGUAACGCGUAAGGAACUUGCCCUGCAGUCAGGGAUAACAGACGGAAACGACUGAUAAGACCUGGUAAAGUCAGGCGGACUCAUGUCCAGCCUGAUGAAAAGAGAUGCUGCAGGAGAGCCUUGCGUCCUAUUAGCUUGUUGGUGGGGUAACGGCCCACCAAGGCAAUGAUAGGUAGCCGGCCUGAGAGGGUGGACGGCCACAAGGGGACUGAGAUACGGCCCUUACUCCUACGGGAGGCAGCAGUGGGGAAUAUUGGACAAUGGGGGCAACCCUGAUCCAGCAAUUCUGUGUGCACGAUGAAGGUUUUCGGAUUGUAAAGUGCUUUCAGCAGGGAAGAAAAAAAUGACGGUACCUGCAGAAGAAGCGACGGCUAAAUACGUG
rnacentral:rRNA from 1 species